CUUCAGAAGAAAUUCUUUCCCAUUGUACAUCUUCACUCAAACAGGACUUCCUGACAACAAUGAAACUACUAGUCCUAGUGAUGUACCUGAUUGGACUGUGUUCCUCCAUUCCUGUGACUAAGGAACAUGAUAUAGAGGAGCGCUUUUCAAGUAAUGAGGGGUACAAAGGUUUUGGGCGGUUAUAUCCCUAUUCUCGGUACCUCCAGAGUGACUCAAACCUGACAUCCCUGAAGCCUUUACUGUUGGCAAGACGGGCUGCUCUACCUCCUCUACCAGCCCUACCUGCCAUACCUCCCUUA